GUCAUGGGCGCAGCUGAUGCAGCGACGCCGCGUGAGUGAUGAGGUCUUCGGGUUGUAAGCUCUGUCGUUAGGGACGAUAAUGACAGUACCUGUAGAGGAAGCUACUGCUGACUCCGUGACAGCAGCCGCGGUAAUACUACAUGCCAUCAUACGCGGUAAUA
rnacentral:rRNA from 1 species